GACGAACGCUGGCGGCGUGCUUAACACAUGCAAGUCGAGCGGAAAGGCCCUUUCGGGGGUACUCGAGCGGCGAACGGGUGAGUAACACGUGAGUAAUCUGCCCUUCACUCUGGGAUAGCCACCGGAAACGGUGAUUAAUACCGGAUACGACCAAUCCCUGCAUGGGGUGUUGGGGGAAACUUUUUGGGUGGGGGAUGUGCUCGCGGCCUACCAGCUUGUUGGUGGGGUAAUGGCCUACCAAGGCUUCGACGGGUAGCCGGCCUGAGAGGGUGGCCGGCCACACUGGGACGGAGACACGGCCCAGACUCCUACGGGAGGCAGCAGUGGGGAAUAUUGGAAAAUGGGCGGAAGCCUGAUCCAGCAACGCCGCGUGAGGGAUGACGGCCUUCGGGUUGUAAACCUCUUUCAGCACCGACGAAGCGAUCCUUUUGGGGAGUGACGGUAGGUGCAGAAGAAGGACCGGCCAACUACGUGCCAGCAGCCGCCGUAAAAC
rnacentral:rRNA from 1 species